rnacentral:rRNA from 1 species
AGUGAACGCUGGCGGUAGGCCUAACACAUGCAAGUCGAACGGCAGCACAGUAAGAGCUUGCUCUUACGGGUGGCGAGUGGCGGACGGGUGAGGAAUACAUCGGAAUCUACUUUUUCGUGGGGGAUAACGUAGGGAAACUUACGCUAAUACCGCAUACGACCUACGGGUGAAAGCAGGGGAUCUUCGGACCUUGCGCGAUUGAAUGAGCCGAUGUCGGAUUAGCUAGUUGGCGGGGUAAAGGCCCACCAAGGCGACGAUCCGUAGCUGGUCUGAGAGGAUGAUCAGCCAAACUGGAACUGAGACACGGUCCAGACUCCUACGGGAGGCAGCAGUGGGGAAUAUUGGACAAUGGGCGCAAGCCUGAUCCAGCCAUACCGCGUGGGUGAAGAAGGCCUUCGGGUUGUAAAGCCCUUUUGUUGGGAAAGAAAAGCAGCAGGUUAAUACCCAGCUGUUCUGACGGUACCCAAAGAAUAAGCACCGGCUAACUUCGUG